rnacentral:tRNA from 1 species
AGGGUUGUGGCUUAAUGGUAGAGCACUUGCCUGGCAUGUGUGAAGCACUGAGUUCAAUUCUCAGCACCACAU